AACGAACGUUAGCGGCGCGCCUAAACACAUGCAAGUCGCACGAGAAAGGGCUUCGGCCCCGGUACAGUGGCGCACGGGUGAGUAACACGUGGGUAAUUUUCCUUCGAGUGGGGGAUAACGUUCCGAAAGGGACGCUAAUACCGCAUAAGACCACGACCUCGAAAGAGGAUGUGGUCAAAGCAGGCCUCUAUACAUAAGCUUGCGCUUGAAGAUAAGCCCGCGGCCCAUCAGCUAGUUGGUAGGGUAAUGGCCUACCAAGGCGAAGACGGGUAGCUGGUCUGAGAGGAUGAUCAGCCACACUGGAACUGAGACACGGUCCAGACUCCUACGGGAGGCAGCAGUGGGGAAUCUUGCGCAAUGGGCGAAAGCCUGACGCAGCGACGCCGCGUGAGUGAUGAAGGCCUUCGGUUGUAAGCACUUUUGUAGUAGGAGUGAGGAAGGACGGUACGUCUCACGAAUAAGUACUCGGCUAACUAACGUGCCACGCAGCCGCGGUAAU
rnacentral:rRNA from 1 species